rnacentral:lncRNA from 1 species
GUAUUCAUUUGGACGCAACCCCAUUGUAUGUCGAGGAGAGUACUAAACAAGUGUCACUUCACACCAUUGUAAAGCAGAAAAAUUGUUAAGUCCGAGUGUCCACUUAGUCUGGGCUCAAGCCUCAGGCAGCCUGGCCCCUGACCUGUGCAAUAGAGACGUGGCUGGCUGAUGGCCUGGAGGUGUUGGAGGGCCUCACUGGGGGAGUAUUUGGCAGUACCUACCAUGAGACCUUGGGCAGGUCACUUCCGUCUGGGAAUAGCUCUUGGUUUCCUGGAUGAGGUAAUUGCUAAGAGCCUUUUCGUGCUGCCAGUCUCUCUGAGGACAAAGACUUUUCGCACAGAGAAAGCAUUCAUGCUGAGUUUGAUUUUUUAAUACACUCAUCGGCAGCACUCCUUGUUCCCCAGGAAUCUCCGGCUGCUCAGAUACCCAGGAGAGGCAGCCAGCUGCUGCUUUGCCCCCACGAGAUGGAUGUGGUACAGCCCUGGAAGUCAGAGUGAAGGAACUGGGAGGAACCCUGACUAAAGAGAAGGAGUAGGGGGAGCCGUCGGACACUGCACAGGGAGCAUGUCAGCCUGGCUCUGCACCUUUCAGUCAGGAGAGGGAGCACGCAGGUCCUGGAAACUUUUCAGGUAGCGCUGGUUGAUGGGCGUGAUCUUCCCAACCUCUCCAGGGGAUCUCAAAAUUUCACAGGCCCCUGUGCCAGAAGAUGCAUCCUGACAAAAGCCUGGGAUGCCCUGUGCUCUUGAAUGAAGAGGUCUGCCUUUCCCACCUUCAACAGGCCAGGCCUGUUCCCACGUCUUCACCUGUGCAAUGAAACCACCUUCCCCCAGAUAUUCUGGCACUUUCUGGCCAUUCAGGUCUCAGCUCAACGUUAGCAACUCAGAGAGGCUGUCCUGACCACCGCUCUUCGCCAUGUUCAUUUCCUGCACGCCGCUCCUCAUCCUCUGAAACCCUGUCGCAAUGUGUGCCUUCAGCUUUACGUCAGUCACCCUUCACCACACUACACGGGUCUGUCUUGUUCUCUGCUGUGUCCCUGGUGGUUAGGACACGCUGCACAGUGGCCAUGCUCAGCCAAGCACUGUCCAGUGAAUGGACACAUGCUUACUGACCCCUUUCUGCUGGCCAGCUGACCGCAGCCCGGGGCGAGUGCGCCUGGAGCUUCCUAGCAGUCCCCGGGAACACCUGGGCUUCCAGGAAGCACUGGGUGGGUGCAUUUGGCUGUGCCCUAGCAGGGCUGGCUACUGCCUUUGCUGCCGGUGCCAGCCCCAGAAUCAUGCCAGGGCAGUCUUCAUACCUCUGUCCCAAUGUCUAUCUUACACCUGACCAGUAACAUUCCUGGCACUUCUGAAAAGAGAGACGCCCGCAAGAACUCUGUGGCAGGAGGAGCCAGAGCCCCUCGGAGCAAGCAUGCCCAGGGUUCCGUCCUCGAGACGGGCUUGGCGAUUGGCAAAAUGAGCAAAAGCUAGGGAAGUUUGCCAUUGCUUGAGAAAAGGGAACUCCAUAAAGAUGUUUAAAGUUACUUUGUGGAAGCUGACUCACUCAAUCCUCACACACAUGCUUUUUAGUCUCUUUUCACAGAAGAGGGAAACCAAGGCUCGGAGAGGGCUACGGACCUGCCCAAGGUCACACAGCAGGGAACAAUGAUGGGGCCUGACACACACAGAGCAGGGUCCCCAGACACCUCACCCAAUCCCAGAUUAUCCCCAGAGGGGCCUUGGAGCCCCUGAGCCACCUAUGCUUCAGGGAGGUUACCUAUUUCAAGCACUGCUCCUGCUCCCCCAGGCCCUCCUUCCCACCACCCCCUCACAGCCGCCUUACCCUUGCCUCCCCAGCAGAGCCCUACUACUCAGCUGGUCCCAGGGACCAAAACCUUCAGCAAAACCUGAUCUCCCUAAAGAGGGGGAAGUUUGGGCCUCAGCCAUGGAAGAGCUAAGCUCCCGGGAGGGGCUGGUCCACUGCUCCUGAGCACUGGGCUGCUGAGGCCCAACGGGGGUGUCUCCCCACCCAGAAGGCUGUGGGGUGCAGCCGAGGCACACGCAGGAAGGCCCAAGGCAGGAAAGGCAGUGGGAAGAGGCUGAGGGAUGCUUCCCCCAGAGCACAGGACACCUCACCUUGAUCCUCCUGCAGGCGAUGGCCUGGUUAAUGGCCACAGCGAUGGCCACGCGGCCCUUCUGGUCUGAGUACAGGAUCCUUGCCUGGGAGCCCACCACCUGAGGAGAGAAGGGCAACUGGCAUCUCAGCCAACAUAGGCAGCAAUAACAGGACCUGGGGUGCAGGGAGACACGGGUGGCACUUCCACUGUGGGACAUGGCCCUUGGCAGCCUGAGCGCCUAACAAGGUCCAGGAGGACCCCCAGGGUGCAUGGUAGCUCUCAAAUCUGUGGCCUGAGGUGAGCCCCCACAUUCAGCCCACUAGACAGCCAUACCGGCCCCACAUGUCCACUGUAGUCUGGGCCUCCAGACACCUCCCCCAAUCCCAGAUUAUCCCCAGAGGGGCCUUGGAGCCCCUGAGCCAUCUGUGCUCCAGGGAGGUUACCUAUUGCGAGCACUGCUCCUGCUCCAUCCCACAGUGAUGACAUCAACGCCAUCCAGGGCAAGUUUGCGUUGGGCCUGCCCCACUCUCAGUGUGCCAUACAGCCUCUUGUCUGUGAGUCUUAUGGGAAGAUACUGUCAUCCUCAUCAUAAGCUCCAUUUUCCAGAUGAGGAAAUGGCCCCAAGAGGUGGAGCCACCUGUCUACAGGUUGACCUUGGGCCCUCUGUCUGUCUGCUGCACCCACGAGCUCAGCCACCCAGUGAUCGCAUCUCCUGACAGUAAUGGGUGGUUGUCCCCGGGAGACAGCUUCAGCGCAUGAAAUGAGUCACUGUGUAGCCCCGCGGUCCUCAAGCAGGAUGACAUUUGGCAAUGACUGAAGACAUUUUUGGGUGCUGCUGGCAUGGGUCGGGAUGCUGCUAAAUACUCUACAACGGCCCCCGUGAUGAAGAAGCCCCCAAUGACUCCAAGAGAUAUGUGCACACACACGUUCACAGCAGCAUGACAACAGCUGAGAGGUGGAGGCGACCUGGGUAUCCAGCGUGGUGCACGGAUGAACCAAACGUGGUCUGUCCAUACAGUGGAUUGUGAUUCAGCCUUAAAAGGAAGGAAAUUCCAACCCAUGCUACAACAUGGAUGGAUGAACCCUGAAGACAUUAUGAUAGGAGAAAUAAGUCAGACACAAAAGGACAAACACUGUCUGAUCUCGCUUAUAUGAGGUUGUUGAGUGCCAGGGGCCGUGGGAGUAGAAUGGGGAGUUAGUGUUUAAUGGGGACAGAGUUUUGGUUUGGGAAGGUGAAAAAGCUCUGAGAUGGAUGGUGGUGAUGGCUGCACAGCAGUAUGAAUGUGCUUGAAGCCACUGCACUGCACACUCAAAAAUGGCAAAGAUGGUUAAGAUGGUAAAUUUUACGUUUAUGUAUAAUUUACCAUAAUUAAAGAAAAUUUGUACAGCCCCAAAUGUCAGUACGCUGAGGCUGAGAAACCCUGGUUUCUCCAAAGAAGAUGCAGGUGUCUGCCCCAGUUGCUGGUGAGCUCGACCAGGAGCCGGUAAAAGGCAGCAGGGCCGGGCCACGGAAGCAGCUGUGCACCUGACCGCAAGCUCAGCUUUGGCCGGGACAAUGAGUCUAGCUGCUUCUUCCUCCCUCAUGGGUUCCUAGAGAACAGGCUUAUUUUACUCACACCAGCUGCCUCAAAUCCUUUUCAG